GGCAAUUCCCAAAGUUCCAAAGGCUGCAGUUGGUCUUAAGGGUUGGCCCCAUAUGGAUUUCUCCGACAUCAAUAAGAAAAUAGAUUGAUUUUUUUUGGCGAGAAGUUUAAAUACUAUGGGAAGGCGAGUUAUCUAAAUGGCAAUUAACCACUUUAGUUGUGAAGGGAUUAUUCUAUGUUGUUGACAAUAUUCUGUGCCUGGAUAUGCACUUGAUGUAAUUUGUUUCUUGGAUAAGUUUGUUAGAAUCAUUGUAGGAGAAGUUCAUUGAUAAUGAUAGCUUCUAUAGUAAGUUAAAAUGCCUCCCUUGGAAAAGUUUAUUGAUAGUCGGGUUGGCUUGCUGCUAGAUUUCCGAUCAAUGAAUCUGUGUAGUUGAACUCCAUUUGUCCUUGCACCUGGCUAUCUAUUCAGUUGAGUGAUACUGAUGGUUUUGUUGUGCAAAUUCUUCACAUUGAGCUGUGCCAUUCGUUGUUUGGAUUGGUUUACAGUAGAAUCUUAAUCUAGAAUCUUAAUCGAUUAUCUUUCUGUUGAACUCAUUUCUCCCUAUACCUUGCUUUCUCUUUGGCGAUGAGCGAUGACUGAUACGGUUAUCUGGUGCAAAUUCUUGUCGAUUUUCAGAUCUUCUUCACAUUUUAUCAUAUCUGCCCAAGGAUUUUAAUUUUGUCAACCACUCGAGCUACAUUGGUUGGAGAGAGUAUGACCAUCUCCUUCUCCUGUUAUAUGAU
rnacentral:lncRNA from 1 species